GACGAACCGAGCGAACGUUAUUCGGAAUCACUGGGCUUAAAGGGCGCGUAGGCGGGCCGUCAAGUCGAGGGUGAAAUCCCCCAGCUCAACUGGGGAAGUGCCUCCGAUACUGGCGGUCUCGAGGGGGAUAGGGGCAUGCGGAACUUCCGGUGGAGCGGUGAAAUGCGUAGAUAUCGGAAGGAACACCGGUGGCGAAAGCGGCGUGCUGGAUCCCUUCUGACGCUGAGGCGCGAAAGCCAGGGGAGCGAACGGG
rnacentral:rRNA from 1 species